UAGAUUUGUGUACGAGAGAGAACAGAGGCGGCGACUCCAGCUCAACUUCAAUCAUCAAUCUUCAAUCAAAUCGACUCCAGCUCAACUUCAAUCAUCAAUCUUCAAUCAAAUCAAGAUCUCCAGCUCAACUAUUUCGUUUGUAAUGGAGUUUAUGUCAAACUCGGCUACAACUACAAGUACAGGAGGCUCUAAUUCUGUCAGCCAACCAUCACAAAGUAUGCCAGUGGAAGAAAACACAUUGUGGAGGCAUGUUACUAAAGUUGCAGUAGCCAAAGAAAGAGGGGGAAACACUAAAUUUCGAUGCAAUUUCUGCACUAGUUAUUUAUGUAUUUUAGUUAUCAAGACUUAAGGAUGAUUAAUUUAGUUA